GACGAACGCUGGCGGCGUGCUUAACACAUGCAAGUCGAACGGCAAGGCCCUGCUUUUGUGGGGUGCUCGAGUGGCGAACGGGUGAGUAACACGUGAGUAACCUGCCCUUGACUUUGGGAUAACUUCAGGAAACUGGGGCUAAUACCUGAUAGGAGCUCCUGCUGCAUGGUGGGGGUUGGAAAUUUUCGGCGGUUGGGGAUGGACUCGCGGCUUAUCAGCUUGUUGGUGGGGUAGUGUCUUACCAAGGCUUUGACGGGUAGCCGGCCUGAGAGGGUGACCGGCCACAUUGGGACUGAGAUACGGCCCAGACUCCUACGGGAGGCAGCAGUGAGGAAUAUUGGACAAUGGGCGGAAGCCUGAUGCAGCAACGCCGCGUGCGGGAUGACGGCCUUCGGGUUGUAAACCGCUUUCGCCUGUGACGAAGCGUGAGUGACGGUAAUGGGUAAAGAAGCACCGGCUAACUACGUG
rnacentral:rRNA from 1 species